ensembl:lncRNA
GCCUCUUUCCCCGGGGAGCCCCGAGAGCAUCAGCGAGAAAGCGCGGCUCGGCGCAGGCUCAGUGCUCACAGCCGCAGUCCCGGCCGGAGGAGGGGGACUCGGCAGCUCAGCAUCUUCGCAGCGGGUUAAGUAGGAUUAAUACCAAAUCCCUAUUAUAUUUGCCAAGCAACUUGAAUUUAUCAAAAUUCCCCCUCGCUGUUCUGGAGCUCCGAGAGGAGGAAAUAUUGCUUACAGUUGUCUUCACAUGCAAUCUCUCUCUGAAUGUGCAAUGUCUUUCCUGCUCGGGAGUGCCUCGUCCUUCACAGUGGAUUGGUUCCUCUUUCGGAGCAGAGGGCAGGCAAACGGCGUGGGAAAUGGGCCCGACGUGCACUGCAUGGUGGAUGGCAGUGUCGCUCCGGCUCCACGUGUCGCGGCUGCCGGGAGGGGGCCAGGGCUGGCCUGCCCCCUUCCCCCCUCCCCCCGCAUCCCGCUGCUUCGUUUCGUGCUGGGGAAGUGGGGGGGAAGGGAAGCCCAGCCACCCCCCGGCCCCGCGGAGAGCCGGUCCCAGCGGCUGCGGGCGGGGGAGGGCUCCCCCCACAACCAGCCGGGCAAAGCUGUUGCGCAGCACAGCCCCCCCUGCCCACCCGAUGCGCACAGACGCCCACACGCGCUCAGACGUUUGUCCUCCUGAUCUGGUGAGAUCAAGUGGGAAGCGGGAUCGCCAGCGUAAUCGGCUGUAAUAAAUAAAAUAGCCCGAGAUGCCGGAGAUAUACAGAGGGGAAAUAAGAGCUUGUGUCCUUAAAGGGAACAUCUGAUAAGGCCACGGAGGUGGCAUCGUGCGUGUGGGAAGGAAUCCGUCUUGCUGACAUUCGCAGCCUGCUGUACGUGGGGG